rnacentral:tRNA from 1 species
AAAUGAAGUGCCUGAAAAAAAGGAUUACUCUGAUAGAGUAAAUAAUGCAACAAAUUGCCUUCAUU